ACCUCUAUAGCUCAGUUGGUAGAGCUACCGCCUCUUAAGCGGAAGGUCGCAGGUUCGAGUCCUGCUGGGGGUACCA
rnacentral:tRNA from 1 species